rnacentral:rRNA from 1 species
CAGUAGCCGCGGUAAUACAGAGGGUGCGAGCGUUAAUCGGAAUUACUGGGCGUAAAGCGUGCGUAGGUGGUGGUUUAAGUCCGUUGUGAAAGCCCUGGGCUCAACCUGGGAAUCGCAGUGGAUACUGGGUCACUAGAGUGUGGUAGAGGAUAGUGGAAUUUCCGGUGUAGCAGUGAAAUGCGUAGAGAUCGGAAGGAACAUCUGUGGCGAAGGCGACUAUCUGGGCCAACACUGACACUGAGGCACGAAAGCGUGGGGAGCAAACAGGAUUAGAUACCCCAGUAGUCCCUGUCUCUUAUAC